CGCGCAGGCGGGUUGACAAGUCAGAGGUGAAAUCCUACAGCUUAACUGUAGAACUGCCUUUGAGACUGUCAAUCUUGAGUACGGAAGAGAGAGAUGGAAUUCCAGGUGUAGUGGUGAAAUACGUAGAUAUCUGGAAGAACACCAGUGGCGAAGGCGAUCUCUUGGUCCAUUACUGACGCUGAGGCGCGAAAGCGUGGGGAGCGAACAGGAUUAGAUACCCUGGUAGUCC
rnacentral:rRNA from 1 species